GCCCCAGUGGCCUAAUAGUUAAAGCACUAGCUUCCUAAGCCAGGGAUUGUGGGUUUAAGUUUCACCGAGGGUA
rnacentral:tRNA from 1 species